CCUCCAUUCCAGCCCUGUGCAAUUCUGGGAUAAGGCGAAGCCAGACACUUAACUGAUGAGCACGGAAGUGAUUCUUCAUCUUCGGUUUCAUACCUGUAACAAAAUUCCACGAUGAAACACAUCAGAGGUAACACAAGUUACAUUAGCUUUGUGACAGUUUUGUGAAGUAUUACUCUCUAUCGCUUGAAACCUCCAAAUGAUCCACGCUGAUGGAUUUCACCUCUAAUAUUCUCCUACAGGUGUAACAAAUACGAAAUUAGAUAUCGUACAGCAUCCAUCAAAUAAAUUCCGUAGGAUCUGUUCUUUAAAAAUCGUUAAGAAAUUGUUUUAUCAGAACAGAUGCCUAUAUUAACCUCUAUAAAUUUUAUAAUUCCUAUGAAGAUUAUCGUGAAAAAGGGUACUGCCCCGAUUUUGAAAAAAUAUCAAGUAGGUACGUAUCUAAUAGUUAGCAAUUAAUUUAUUUGAGGUCUUUUUCUCAAUAACUGUACCAAAAAUAAUAGUCCUGAACCAUAUCUAUCAAAAUGCAAUAAGGAAUAGUAAAAUUAUUAAAAUUAUUACGAUAAAUUACCUUCGUUUUAUACUUUACUUUCUUUAGUGAAGUAGUCUGGAAAACAAAAACAUCGCCUGUUAAAUAUCGGACAAUAAGCAAUUAAUGAAAUUUUAAGUUUAUCGGUUUUGAUAGUUUAAAAGCGAUGGUUUAGUGUCGGUUGGUGAACGAGUAGGAAGUAAAAGACACUCAUCAGUUCCAAUCAUGGGCAAAUAAAACGGAAAAUGAAGCACUUAUUGUGCAGAUGUAUGGCAUUGCAGACGCGUUAAACGCUCGAGAGAAUCUAAUAAGUCGAGAAAUUGCAAUGUCAUUUCAUGGCUGAUUUGUCCUCCGUUGGCUUUGCUCAAGCGCCUCUUAUUGCGCUUAUCAGCUCAUUUAUUCGAGUGUUAACACAUUCUCUUUGCUGCUUCUUCCUCCCACACUGUCCUAAUGAACAACUCAAUACACAACCCAGCAUGUAUGUCAAUUCUCUCUAAACGUACACGUGCACAAUUGGUACACAUUUGAAACAGUACUAAACACGCUUUAAUCAAACGUAUUCUCGACUUCUCCAAGAUAGAAAUAAAUUUCAUAUCUAAUUUCUUGAAACUUUUAUCAAAACGGUAGCUAAAGGUAGAAUCCAUUACUACAGAAAAUUUUAUUGUAAAUAUAAAAUUACUGUAAAGUUUGCACGUCUAUACAUUGAAAGCAUUUGUAGAAAUGUAAGGGAUAUUAAGGGAUUAGUACAGUUGAUGGUGCGGAUUUUUGUUUAUUUCACAACACCAACGAGCUAGUUCGGAUUGAGUCAUUGACAAUUAACCAUCAGGAAAACCAUGAGCCGACUAUGAGAUAUGCUUUUCCUUUCAAGUUACAUUAUAGUUCAUAAUUCAAUAAUUUUGGUGCAAUUUGCUUUAUCUCAUUUUAGUUUUCUGUUAUUAAUUAUUUAUUACUUAUAUAUUUAGUUAUUCAGAUAUGGACAAACAUUUUAUCCUAUCUAUAAAUUGUAUUUUUAGUAUUUCUUAAGGGACUGAAGAGAAUUUCAUUUCAAAUUAGACAAAGGUCGUUUUAGGUAACGUCACACAAAGGUAACCACCUUCAAUGAUCCUUAUUAUACAUUUUCAUGCUAGGCUAAACCCCGUCCCCCUUUAAUUACGUAAUUAUUUAUUAAUUUGUCUGCGCUUUAUCCUUUCUAUUAUACUAAACAUUCUGUACCAGCAUAUUUUAUUAAUUUUUUCCAUGUUGUACGAAUGAUAACGAUAAUACAAUACCAAACAAACAAACAUAUCUACUUUUCUUUAAAAUAUUGUGUAAUAACAUUAAAUCGCCCUGUAUAGCGUUAGUCUAUUCGGUUAUCUGAAUGUCAUGUUGUUGGCAACAAGUACGUCAUAGCAGAGCUUCGCGUUUCAUCCUUCGUACAAUGCCGGGCAACAUUAUUCGUACUGGAUAUAAUAUGCCAGUAUUUUGUUACAAUAAAGACAAUCGGUUCUCGAGUGGAUGUUUUGUUUAUUGUAAUUGACUUUAGCAAGUGUUUUUUUGGAUGAACAAUACUUCCAUAUAAUUGAUAAAAUGGAGUAGCAAUAUAAGAAAGAUAAAUUCAGAUAUUUACCAAUCCUGGAUUACCUACCUACUCAUGCCAGAGUCCACAGGGAAAGCUUUUCUAAUCAAGGCGAGCCGUGGUACUCAAUUGUUCCUAUGGUAUGGUAUGGUAAUGUUUACGGAGUUUUCUUCGAGCCCCAUGGAAAAUCAUUAAUUUGUAGGAUCGUUAUAGGGGCGAUUCUUUGGCUUCGUGUAAUGCUUUAAAGUGAUUACUUCUCCUCGGUUUAAAACGAUUCCCGAACAAAGAUGGUCCUUCUACAGUUUAUAAUGUCAACAGAUCACAAAGCUAUUUUUCGCAUUCCUUCUCUAAAAGGAGAUGAAAGUUCGUUGGAAUUGCUGUGUUGGAACGAUGUUAGUUGGUUGCUGUCACAACGCUAUUUAUGGUUCCUUUCUACACGAUCAUGGAGAAGAUUCAUUGGAAAGUAUGUACCGGGAAUGCACCGAUGAAUUGAUUACGACCUCAACGGUAAAUGAGCGUUAUUCAAUUAAUAAUUCUCGUUAUAUUUUUUAUUUUCUAAUUGAUUUCAUUACUUUUAGAAAGUCAGCUGAAAAAUAUUAUGUUUGUUAAUUUCCUCUCCCCAAGUUCCCUGUUUAAGGAAA